rnacentral:rRNA from 1 species
CCUACGGGUGGCAGCAGUGAGGAAUAUUGGUCAAUGGUCGUAAGACUGAACCAGCCAAGUCGCGUGCAGGAUGACGGUCCUAUGGAUUGUAAACUUCUUUUGUCGGGGGACAAAAUCCGCCACGCGUGGCGUUCCGAGGGUACCCGAAGAAAAAGCAUCGGCUAACUCCGUGCCAGCAGCCGCGGUAAUACGGAGGAUCCGAGCGUUAUCCGGAUUUAUUGGGUUUAAAGGGUGCGCAGGCCGAAUGUUAAGUGUGCCGUGAAAUUCCGUGGCUCAACCAUGGCGAUGCGGUGUGAACUGGCUUGCGUGAGUGCGCGGAACGUAGGGGGAAUGCGUGGUGUAGCGGUGAAAUGCUUAGAUAUCACGAAGAACUCCGAUUGCGAAGGCAGCAUACGGCAGCGCUACUGACGCUGAAGCUCGAAGGCGCGGGUAUCGAACAGGAUUAGAUACCCGGGUAGUC